rnacentral:rRNA from 1 species
UACAGAGGGGGCAAGCGUUAUUCGGAAUUAUUGGGCGUAAAGCGCGCGUAGGCGGACCUGCAAGUCAGAUGUGAAAUCUCGGGGCUCAACCUCGAAACUGCGUCUGAAACUACAGGUCUAGAAUCUUGGAGGGGGAAGGGGAAUUUCUCAUGUAGGGGUAAAAUCCGUAGAUAUGAGAAGGAACACCAGAGGCGAAGGCGCCUUCCUGGACAAGUAUUGACGCUGAGGCGCGGAAGCGUGGGGAGUCAAACAGGA